AUUGAACGCUGGCGGCAUGCUUUACACAUGCAAGUCGAACGGUAACACACUUACGGGUUCUUACUAGUGGUGACCAGUUGCGUAAUGCUUCGGAAUGUAUCCAGAUGUGGUUUUUAAUGCAGCGUAACGUGUGCUAAUAUCGCCUGUUAUCUCAUGCUACCUGCGGGUGACCACAGAGCAUUUUUUGGCCUCGCGCGUUUGAAUGGGCCGAUGUCGGAUUAGGUAGUUGGCGGGGUAAAGGCCUACCAAGGCGACGAUCUGUAGCUGGUCUGAGAGGACGAUCAGCCACACUGGAACUGAGACACGGCCCAGACUCCUACGGGAGGCAGCAGUGGGGAAUAUUGGACAAUGGGCGCAAGCCUGAUCCAGCAAUGCCGCGUGCGGGAAGAAGGCCUUCGGGUUGUAAAGCCCUUUUGUAGGGAACGAAAAGGAGCUGGCUAAUACCUGGGGGUGAUGACGGUACCGAAAGAAUAAGCACCGGCUAACUACGUG
rnacentral:rRNA from 1 species